GCCCCGGUUCUAGUCCUUUUUCUCUUCCUUUUCCUUUUCCAACCAAAACAUUUGAUACGGCCAGUAAAGGAGAUUAAAAACCGCACGAGCACGAUAGAAACAGUACCGCAAGGGAAAGAAGCCAAGCAACAAAAAGCAAAGAUAAAACCUUGUACCUUUCGCAUCAUGGUUUAGCAAGACAAAAAUGAGCGAGGGGCCCCCAGCUCAGACCCCCGAAACCAAGUGAGCUACCCCCCGACAGGAAACACGCCCGUCUCUGUAGCAAAAGAGUGGGGAGAUCGGAGGGUAGCGGUGAAAAGCCUAUCGAACUUGGCAAUAGCUGGUUGCCCGAAAUUGAACCUAAGUUCUACCUUGAGUCUAACACCACUAAGCCGGAGAAUCAAGGAGACUCAUUAGGGGUACAGCCCUAAUGAGAGGGGACACAGCCCCAGCCUGAGAGUAAGCCGUAUAGUUACUUCCUGUGGGCUUUAAAGCGGCCACCAAUAAAAAUAGCGUCAAAGCAACCAACUACUAAUUCACAACAUACCCACCACCUCCAGCAAGAAUCAAGGCAACUCUACACCUGUAGAAAAACCAAUGCUAAAACUACUAAUAAGGUAUAACCCUCUAAGCACACCCAUCAGUUGAAAUGGACCACCCACCAACAAUUAUCAAACUCAAGCUAAUCCAUAUUCGCGAACCUUUCACUAGUUGUGACACCAACACCGGGGUGCCUAAAAGAAAGAUAAAAAGCCACAGAAGGAACUCGGCAAGCACGGACUCCAACUGUUUACCAAAAACAUAACCUUUAGCUAACCAAGUAUUAAAGGCAUCGCCUGCCCAGUGAGAAAGUCUUCUUUAACGGCCGCGGUACCCUAACCGUGCGAAGGUAGCAUAAUCACUUGCCUAUUAAUCAUAGGCUGGCAUGAAAGGCUGCAUGAGAGUCAAACUGUCUCCUGUGGCCCAUCAAUGAAACUGAUCUUGCAGUCCAAAAGCUGUAAUAUUAACAUAAGACGAGAAGACCCUGUGAAACUUUCAACGACCUUUUCCCCAAGGAAAAAGUACUUUUAGUUGGGGCAACUUUGGAAAAAACCCAACUUCCAAACUCCUGAACACCCACCACCACACAGGCCAACAAGCCUCAACCAUACGACCCAGUAUACCUGAUAAAUGAACCAAGCUACUCCAGGGAUAACAGCGCUAUCUUCUUCAAGAGCCCAUAUCAAAAAGAAGGUUUACGACCUCGAUGUUGGAUCAGGGCACCCCAGUGGCGCAGCCACUACUAAAGGUUCGUUUGUUCAACGAUUAAUAGC
rnacentral:rRNA from 1 species